CGACCCUUCCAACCCCAUCUCUAUCUAUCCUUAUUGCUUAUUCUCUCACCUCACAACCGUCCUCUUUCUUCUUCUUUCUCUCACCUCACAUCACAACGGGAUUCAAUGGACGGUAUUUUUUUCUCUCUCACCGUCGACGGUAUUCAAUGCUCCGCUACCACACUUUCUCUGAUGUGAAGGAGGUUCGAUCGAUUUCUGAGCCAAUCACCGUCGCAGGUUUUCGUUUUAGGGUUAGUGAUUUUUUGGGGUUUUUUAUGUGGGUUGUUUCAGAUCUAGUUUUUUUUUGUUAAUUUCUCAAUUCUCCUUCAAAACCUUUUUUCGAUUUUUAUUUGCGAAUCCUUUUUUCGUAUAUUUUUUUCGUUUUCUCGAUUUUUGUUUCAGAUCUGGUUUUUUCUUAUUUUUUCGUCGGGUUUUUGUCCUAAUUAUUUCGAGGUUUUUUCUUCUUCUCAUCAGAUGUGUGGUUUUUUGGGGAUUAUAUAUGAUUUUGUGUCGAAUUUUUAAUCUGGUGUUUUGAUAUGUUGCCUUUUUCUUAUCUGAAAGUUAGUUUCAGUUUUUCUGGCGUGCGAUAAUUUUUCACUUUGGAUCAUUGUUGCUGUACUUUCAGUAUGUGAGAGGUUUGGAGAUAUAUUCAUUUCUUGGACAGAAAGAAGGAGAUGAGCUGAAGAGGAAUGCAGAUGUAGCAGAGAUUUUGAAAGGCAUGCAAUUCCCAAAGAUAUGCAAGAACUCUGACAAAAAGGCACCUGAGAAGAUCAUUGAUCAUGACCGAGUCCUUUGGUUUGGAGAUCUUAAUUAUCGUGUUUCUUUGCCUUAUGAAGAAGCUAGGUUACUGCUAGAGGAAAAUGAUUGGGAUACCCUCCUUGAGAAAGAUCAGG